CUUUUAUUUUGUGUUUACAGAUUGAAUGCAACUGUUUACCUUACCACAAAUUUUAUGUUUGUUUUCCUCGGUUUUACUGAUUACCACUAAUCCGCUUCACUGCUUGUGCACACGUGAUUUACUGCGUCAAUAACGACAGUUGCAUGUCGUCAGUCAACAAUCAAUGGAAUUCUGGCUACGCAACAGCAUGUAAAAAUGACAAACACAUUAAAAAGCGAAUUUUCCUGGAAGAAAUUGUCUCUUAACUUCAAUAAUGGUGAAGAAAAUAAUAUGCAUAAGUCAUGGGUAAGUCAUCUAUCUAU